rnacentral:rRNA from 1 species
CAGCAGGCACGCAAAUUACCCACUCCCGGCACGGGGAGGUAGUGACAAAAAAUAACGAUACGGGACUCUAUUGAGGCCCCGUAAUCGGAAUGAGUACACUUUAAAUCCUUUAACAAGGAUCCAUUGGAGGGCAAGUCUGGUGCCAGCAGCCGCGGUAAUUCCAGCUCCAAUAGCGUAUAUUAAAGUUGUUGCGGUUAAAAAGCUCGUAGUUGGUUCUGCGUGCCGCGCUGUCGGUUCGCCGCCUGUCGGUGUAACUGGCAUGUCGCGGCAUGUCCUGUCGGUGGUGAGCGGAGUCCACGGUACUGCAUAGGCUUCUUUAGCCGAUGUUAGGACCGUGUGUAUUUCCGUUUGCCGAUCUCUCCUACUCCGGUGCUCUUAAACGAGUGUCGAGGUAGGCCGACACGUUCACUUUGAACAAAUUAGAGUGCUUAAAGCAGGCUAAAAUAUCUGCCUGAAUAGUGGUGCAUGGAAUGAUAAAACAGGACCUCAGUUCUAUUUUGUUGGUUUUAGGAAUAUGAGGUAAUGAUCAAUAUGGACUGGCGGGGGCAUUCGUAUUGCGACGUUAGAGGUGAAAUUCUUGGAUCGUCGCAAGACGCACUAGAGCGAAAGCAUUUGCCAAGUAUGUCUUAAUUGAUCAAGAACGAAAGUUAGAGGUUCGAAGGCGAUCAGAUACCGCCCUAGUUCUAACCAUAAACGAUGCCAGCCAGCGAUCCGCCGAUGUUCCUUUAAUGACUCGGCGGGGAGCUUCUACCCGGGAAACCAAAGCUUUUGGGUUCCGGGGGAAGUAUGGUUGCAAAGCUGAAACUUAAAGGAAUUGACGGAAGGGCAUCACCAGGAGUGGAGCCUGCGGCUUAAUUUGACUCAACACGGGAAACCUCACCAGGCCAGGACAUUGGAAGGAUUGACAGAUUGAUAGCUCUUUCUUGAUUCAGUGGGUAGUGGUGCAUGGCCGUCUUA